rnacentral:rRNA from 1 species
AUCCUGGCUCAGGAUGAACGCUAGCGGCAGGCUUAACACAUGCAAGUCGAGGGGUAUAGUUCUUCGGAACUAGAGACCGGCGCACGGGUGCGUAACGCGUAUGCAAUCUACCUUUUACAGAGGGAUAGCCCAGAGAAAUUUGGAUUAAUACCUCAUAGUAUGUGAGAAUCGCAUGGUUUUCACAUUAAAGUUCCAACGGUAAAAGAUGAGCAUGCGUCCCAUUAGCUAGAUGGUAAGGUAACGGCUUACCAUGGCGACGAUGGGUAGGGGUCCUGAGAGGGAGAUCCCCCACACUGGUACUGAGACACGGACCAGACUCCUACGGGAGGCAGCAGUGAGGAAUAUUGGUCAAUGGACGCAAGUCUGAACCAGCCAUGCCGCGUGCAGGAUGACGGUCCUAUGGAUUGUAAACUGCCUUUGUACGAGAAGAAACACUCCUACGUGUAGGAGCUUGACGGUAUCGUAAGAAUAAGGAUCGGCUAACUCCGUG